GACGAACGCUGGCGGCGUGCCUAAUACAUGCAAGUAGAACGCUGAAGAGAAGAGCUUGCUCUUCUUGGAUGAGUUGCGAACGGGUGAGUAACGCGUAGGUAACCUGCCUGGUAGCGGGGGAUAACUAUUGGAAACGAUAGCUAAUACCGCAUGAUAUUAAUUGUCGCAUGAUAAUUAAUUGAAAGAUGCAAUUGCAUCACUACCAGAUGGACCUGCGUUGUAUUAGCUAGUUGGUGAGGUAACGGCUCACCAAGGCGACGAUACAUAGCCGACCUGAGAGGGUGAUCGGCCACACUGGGACUGAGACACGGCCCAGACUCCUACGGGAGGCAGCAGUAGGGAAUCUUCGGCAAUGGGGGGAACCCUGACCGAGCAACGCCGCGUGAGUGAAGAAGGUUUUCGGAUCGUAAAGCUCUGUUGUAAGAGAAGAACGGGUGUGAGAGUGGAAAGUUCACA
rnacentral:rRNA from 1 species